GCCCUUGUAGUGUAGUUUGGAUAUCACUUUGGUUUGCGGAACCAAUAGCAGGUUCAAACCCUGGCAGGGGCGCCA
rnacentral:tRNA from 1 species